UUUUCCAACAGUUAGGUUUCCUGUCUCCUUCCACGAAACAAAAUACACAAAACCUUUUCAUUUUUUUCAUAAAUUCAUUCUUUCAUUCGUAAUAAUCAAGUGGAAAACACUUAAAAACAAAAAAAAUUCAAUUCUCGCUUUCUUACUAAAUAAUCCAAAUUCUUACUUAUUUUUUUUUUGAGAAAACGCUCUCUCUAAUUUUCAUAACUCACUGUUGUUACUUUUGAUUCAUUCAUUCUCGUUAGCUAAAACUUUCUAUUUUUUAUUUAUUUAUUUUGUUAUUCGGUCACGAAAUCGACCCGAAUUUUGCUUAUAUCGGAUUCAUUUAAGAGUAUAUCAAAUUAUGAAGGAAUUCGUAUCGAUCAAAGGCGGAUUGCGGUUGGUAGGGAUGUAGGCAGGAUUUGGUUUUGCAUGUCAUACUCUCCUGGAAAUAGUGUUCACAACAUUGACAACCGCAUCGUUGGCAUUGAUGUCAUCUUGGACCUUGAAAUUGUUAUAAAGAUAAAAGGCGUUUAGAAGGUAGGACGAGAAAUGUAGGAUUGCAUCAAGCCUAUUGUUUAUCUUUGUUGAGCUGUUGUCCAUAAUUGGCUCACUUGCUUUUCUAUUAUAUCUCAAAGUAUCAAUGAUUUUUUGCUUUACCUUGUACUGUAUUGUUCUUUAGAUAAAAGCCGAAAACAUUUUUAAACA